rnacentral:miRNA from 1 species
UCACAUAUGCCCCAUUCACAGA